rnacentral:lncRNA from 1 species
GCUGGAUUCAGUGAAAGUUCCAUCCUGCAGAAACCUGGGCACUAAUUGAGGAGCUGUUCCCGCUGCUGCCGGUGGGCCCCUCCCCCAGGCUUGACGUCUUGGGGGUGUUCUGGUCAGUUCUGCUGGCGUGUGAUGUGGUGGAUGACAGUGUGCUCAGGCCACCUGGUUUUGCGCUGAGCCUCCUGCUGUCUGGCUUUGUGUGGGAACAUGGACCAGUCCAUGGCCUAAAGGCUUCUUACCUCGAAGAUGGGCAGAACAAUAUCCACUUCCGGAACAUCACACAUGCCGUCAGAGCCCCUGGCGCCCCCACCUGAACGAGGCUCCCU